rnacentral:lncRNA from 1 species
GGGUAGAGCUGUCACUGCCCUUUUACAAUUCCCUUUUACUCUGUUGUCACUGCCCUUUCACAAUAAGAGCAGUGAAGCAAUGGAACAGGAUGCUCUGUCCCUGGAGACAUUCAAGGUCAGCCUGGACUGGGCUCUGAGCACCCUGGCCUAGCUGUCAGUGUCCCUUUUCAUUGCAGGGGAUUUGGACUAGAUGACCUUUAAAGGUCCCUUCCAACUCAAACGAUUCUAUGAUUCUAUUCUAUGAUCUCACCUUGAGCUGAUGUCAUCUCUACACUGGAGAUGUGCGUACCUUUGCUCUUGCACUCUGCAGAUACACAAGGGAAGCCUUUCCACUUGCACUAAAUUCUGAGUUCUGUGGAGCAGAAGAGCACUGAGUUCCAUGAAGAGCAGGCUAAUUCAAUAGAAAGGGUUUAAUCAUCCAAUACCACACAAAAAAUAGAACCGCCGCCUCCUGCAUCCUCUCCAAACAUGUCAUUUCCAAGCAGGUCUGCGACGGCGGUCCCAAAGGAGCGGGGCAGCAGCAGCAGGACUGAAGGACAGCCAGUCGCUAAGCAACCAGUGUACACAGGCUGCUCAGCCCUCAUUUCAUUUGCAAAGGGACGUGUUCUUCGAGCACUUCAUUUUCACUGCUGGGCACAACGAGUUUCCCACUGGCUUCCCAGUGCUGUGCAUGUAUAAAAUAGCCAUUUUUCACAACCAAGUGUGCAAUUUAAAGAGGAGAUGCCAGAGAGGAACAUGCGGAAUUGUAAGGAUUGGAAAAUUGGCACAAGUAUUUCAGGACUUUCUGACGUCAGAAUCCUAAAUCUGCCUCUUUGUUUCUGUGUUCAUCCUACAGCAGAGGGGCUGUCCUGGUAUGGGCUGCCGGGUGUGUAGCAGCACUGCCUGCAGUUUACCCAUGUUUACUGAUGUACCCCCUUGUGCAGAGCGCUCUGUCAUGGUUUUUACAGACACGGGGAAAUACAUUUUCACUGAUUAAAAUAAAAGGCAGA